rnacentral:rRNA from 1 species
GUGGCAUUAGAGCAUUGGAACCACCCGAUCCCAUACCGAACUCGGAAGUGAAACGAUGCAUCGCCGAUGGUAGUGUGGGGCUUCCCCAUGUGAGAGUAGGUCACCGCCAG